UCUGGGCGGUUCCCAUCGUCCCCUUUUAUCUCCCCCACUUCGCCAAUGGUUUCAUACUUUCAUCACGUCUUCCCAUCUUGCCAACUGCACCUCCCCAUUACCCCACGUACAAAGGUUUCAUAUUAAUGAUGGAGAUAGGGUUAAUUAAUUCUCCAAACAGAAGUCUCCAUUCCCCUCCAAUAUGACUACACAUAUUAUGAUCAACAAUGAGGUCUUACUCUUUUAGCUUAAAGAGAUCGAUGCGACAGACGGACGAAAGGAGAGUGUGUCGUCUCGGUUGCGGAUGGCGUCGUGUGUAGCACGAGUGACAUGGACGAUCGCGGUGGAGCUUUGUUUCUCGAUUAAAUAGGCUGGAUUCAAUGAAUAGGAAUAAGAAGGGUCAAAAGUCAACAUUUGGGAUGUGUAUGGUUUCAGAUGCUCCUUCAGCAUAUAACCACUUCGAGGCCUCAAAUUGAAAGCUAGAAGGAAAUGAAGUCCAGAAGCGAUUGGGGAAGAAAUCUUCAAUUCAAUCUUCAAUUAACGCACGUUGAGUCAUUCAUCAUCAUCAGGUGGAAAAUUUGAAAUCUCUACUUGAGAUAGAGAUAAGACUCGAGAAUUAAAAACCGAACAGUGAACAUGAAGAUUUUUGAAACUUUAUCUGGACAAAACACAAGAAAAAUCCGCAAAAUUCUGAUGCAGGAAUCAAAGAAAGAGAGGUGCUCAUUGGUGGAGACUUUGUGAUCUAAAUUGGUAAAUUUGCCUUGCUUCCUUGUACUAUAAUGCGAGCAUAUAUUUACUAUAUCUUUAAACACUUUAUCUUUCAUCAUUGCUUGAUUUUUAUUACAUGAAGACUCUAGGCAGAAGAAACUGGUUGAUUCUGUUAAUAAGGUCAGUCAGCUUGAAUCCCAACAUUCUCAAGGUUUCUUCCAUUACUAAAAAAGUAUAGAUACUUCUACAUAUUGCUCGGAAGAUAUAAGUUGUUUUAUAAUUAAUGUAGUAUAUUUUCUUUCCUACGUAUAAAGUGGUUUAUAAGGCUGUAGGGUGUGGCAUCGACAAGGGGUCGGCGAGUCUCAUGUGGCAUCGGCGCCGAAGAGGAACACCGCCCCCAUAUCCGGUGGGUUCAGGCAAUUCUCCUCCUUCUCGACUGCAUUAUCUCUCUCUCUCUCUCUCCCUCUCUUAUGCAGGUUGGGUUCGGUGAAGGGAGAGGAAGGUGGAAUUGAGAGGAAGGUGGUGUGAGGUGGAUUAACUCACUCUUUUAUAUGUAGGUUCAAUUUAUAGUUGGUAUUUUCAUUUUCCACGUUCUGACAUCACAUACCUAAUCACUUGCAGGGACAUGAGCAACAAUAGUUUUGUUAACCGAUAUCCAUACAUGGUUUACACAUCUAUUAUUGAACACAAUAUAAUGGUUCUUUCUAUAUAAUUUGUCUACAUCGAUGAUUAACAAACGUGGCAAUUUUAAGCCAUUUACUUAUGAACGGGUCGGUUUGUGCUUUUUCUCAUAUCCAAGCUUAAAGAUUGGCUAAAAGUAGUAUUACUAUUAUUAUUAUUUAUAUAUUAAAUUGGAUGGGAAGUGAAUAGUGAUUUUACUCUUUUGCGUAAAAUAUUAUAUUUUUAACACAUUGUCAAAUAUAAAGAUUUCAUGUCACCAAACUGCCACUCUGUUCUGUCUUUUUUGCAUGUCUGAAUCUUCAAAUUGCGCGCCUAAUGCGCGUCUAUACGAGUCAAAGCAAUCGGGUCAAGUUGACCCGUUAUCUCUUUCUUAUGUUUUAGAGACCGUCUCUUGCUGUUUGUAUUAAAGAUGUGUUAAGUUGCAAGUUUUUCACAUUUUUUUCCACGUGAUUUCUUAUUUUUCGUAAUUGAUAUUUUGAAAUUGUUAGGUGGUUGGGAAGUUUGGAUUGUUCACACCCUGAUGUUGUUGCUUAUGUACAAGAAGCAGGUUUAAACCAGCAAGUAAUUUUAUUUUGAAUUUAAAUGGGUCAAAUAUAGAAGCUUAGACAAAAAAAUGAAAUGGGUCCACGAGUUGUAACAGAUUAAAUGGUUCAAAAGUCGAGCUAACAUGUGUACAACUGGAUGUGUUGUGUAGAUUUUGGUGUGGGGUCAAUUGUCGAGCAGAAAGAUCCAAUAAAAGGGUUUGCAGAACUAUUUGGAAAAGAUACACACAAAUGUGCAUAACUCGGUUGUUAAAACGGGCAACAGGCAGGUUCACUGGAGAUAGACAAUUAUGCCCUCUUGGUAAAUGAGAUCAAAGGAGGAUUAAGCAGGUUCUUGAUCAUUGGUCAUAUAUCAAAAUGUGCGAUUUGACAUUAUUAGUUAACAUAUGGUUCAAAACUCAAGUUUUAUACAAUGUAUGAAAUUGGCAGUUCAUUUGUCACAAUAACAAUAUAUGCAUACAAUUACUUUUUUUUUUU